rnacentral:lncRNA from 1 species
AUGAACACGGUGUACCGAAAGAGUACGCCGCGUCUUCCUCCGCCGCUGCAUCCCCUCCGAAGCGCGCCCUCACUUGUUCCAACAAGAAAGGGCGAAACCAGCUGUUUUUCGCCUCCAGUCCGACAUGGAGUCCCGCGAACUCGCGCGCGCCGGCCAAAACACGCUCAAAACACGCACAAAACAGCACGCAGCUUCAACCGAAGCGUCCCGGUGACUCACCGGCGUGUCUGUGGCCCGGUCCGGCGCAGCACCGUGGAGCAGGCUUCAGACACACCUCAAGCUCAUGUCAUCGGCAGAAGUUUCUUUGACAGCUCUUUUGUUGUAGGACGUGCUAGAAGGACCAAAGAGAGGGGAGACGGUUCAUCUGCAACAGGCAAUUAGAGCUGCUGGAAAAUUGGUGUUAGCUCACUAAGUGAGUGUGACUUCACUCUAACACAUACGAUCCCACAGAGGUUCAUUCGCCACACAGAGUGAAAAAACACAGGUGGAAAAUAAGCUAAUGAAACAAAGUUAAAGAACAGUUCAAUCAUUUCUGCUGUGGGCCGGAGGAAACAUCAUAAUCUGAGAAGAUGUGACACUUAUUAAGUCACAUGAUUAUACAUUAUUCGCAGAUUUGACUAAAAGUUGAUAUGAGCCACUGUGUUUCAAAAUAAAAUAAACAAUUAGCAUUAAAUUACUCAAAAAAGGGAAUUUCUUGUUUUUUAUUUAUUUAUUUAAUUUUUUGGGGAAAGAAUUCAUUAUUUUAAGAAAGAAAGUUUCACAUUUGUUCAAUUCAAAUGAUGGAAAUGUUUUUUUCUGAAUCAUAUCAAACUGCUUUUGAAUCAAAACUUGCUAAAAAUAAAAUCAAAUCAAUUGAGAACUGAAUCAAAAUCAAAAUAAUUGUCCAUUUUGGUAGGGAUUCCCAUCCUUGAAGGAACUAUAGAAGGAUGUGAUGACAAUGACUUUAACCUUUUACCUCAUUAAAGAUCCACUUUGAUCAAAAUUGUGUUUGACAUGUGCUUGUGGGGUUCUUCUGAUUUCUUCUCAUAUUGUUGUGAAUCACCAGCAGAGGCAAAAAUGCUUUUUGAGAAUGAGCUUUGGGCGGGCCACACGCUCCCAAUACUCCGCUCCUUUCUG